UUUCAGGUACAUAUGCCUUGGCUUGAAGGAGAGUUUGAUUAGCUCAUAAAAAGUUGUUGUGACUUUGUUUGCCGCAAUGGUUGAUUAGAAAAUGAGUUAUGCAUUAUCACAUGGAUGGAAACUCAAAGGAGCAUGAUCAUCCAAAAAUGGAUACUUCACACAAGGUCAUUGAUCCAUAUUAGAAACAUUGGGUUACGUUGC